rnacentral:rRNA from 1 species
UAGGGAAUCUUCCGCAAUGGACGCAAGUCUGACGGAGCAACGCCGCGUGAGUGAAGAAGGAUUUCGGUUCGUAAAACUCUGUUGUUAGAGAAGAACAGCGCAUAGAGUAACUGUUAUGCGUGUGACGGUAUCUAACCAGAAAGCCACGGCUAACUACGUGCCAGCAGCCGCGGUAAUACGUAGGUGGCAAGCGUUGUCCGGAUUUAUUGGGCGUAAAGCGAGCGCAGGCGGUCAAUUAAGUCUGAUGUGAAAGCCCCCGGCUCAACCGGGGAGGGUCAUUGGAAAGUAGUUGACUUGAGUGCAGAAGAGGAGAGUGGAAUUCCAUGUGUAGCAGUGAAAUGCGUAGAUAUAUGGAGGAACACCGGUGGCGAGAGCGGCUCUCUGGUCUGUAACGGACGCGGAGGCACGAAAGCGUGGGGAGCGAACAGG